GAUGAAGAACGCAGCAAAGUGCGAUAACUAGUGUGAAUUGCAUAUUCAGUGAAUCAUCGAGUCUUUGAACGCAUCUUGCACUCAUUGGUAUUCCAAUGAGUACGCCUGUUUCAGUAUCAAAAACACCCCACAUUCAAAAUCUUUUUUUUGAAUGGAAUUGAGAGUUAUUCGGUUUUACGACUGUACUCUUUAAAACUAUUAGGCCUGAACUUGUUUUGUCUGCCUGAACUUUUUUUUAAUAUAAAGGAAAGCUCUUGUCAAUUAAAACUUUAUUGGGGCCUCCCAAAAAUAAAUCUUUCUUAAACUUGAUCUGAAAUCAGGUGGGAUUACCCGCUGAACUUAAGCAUAUCAAUAAGCGGAGGA
rnacentral:misc_RNA from 1 species